ACUCCUACGGGAGGCAGCAGUGGGAGUAUUGCACAGGCGGCAGCUGAUGCAGCCAUGCCGCGUGUGUGAAGAAGGCUUUCGGUUGUAAAGCACUUUCAGUCGUGAGGAAGGUAGUGUAGUUAAUAGCUGCAUUAUUUGACGUUAGCGACAGAAGAAGCACCGGCUAACUCCGUGCCAGCAGCCGCGGUAAUACGGAGGGUGCGAGCGUUAAUCGGAAUUACUGGGCGUAAAGCGCAUGCAGGUGGUUUGUUAAGUCAGAUGUGAAAG
rnacentral:rRNA from 1 species